UACUGAAGUUCUCAGUUUACUGAACUGGACUCAAGCUCCUCAGCAGGUGGCUCUCUCCUGAGAUCCCCAUGGUGGGAGGGAAGAGUGAGCAGUUCAGAAGCCACCCGAGACAUUCAACAAGACCUUUGGGACACAGGGGAGAAAAGUUGGUUCUCCUUUCCUGGUGCUUCCCAUCUGCACAGAAAAGGGCUCAGUUCCUGUAGGAUUCCAAGUGGCACCAGAGAAUACAGAAAGUUUGCACCAGCUUGACCCUCCAUCCUGCCCGCCGGGAAAGAGAGGUGGGAACAAAGCCUGCUCUGCUCACAUCGACGUCAGGUAUGGCCGUCCCAGCCAGACGUGGAGGAAAAGCCACCUGGAAUGGAAACUGGCAUCCGAGAUCGUCCCACACACCCGCCUCCACUCAGGGGAGGACACAGGAGCCAGCAGAUCCUGAUCAUCUGCCCCCACGCCCAUUUCAGAAGUGCAGCCCUAGCAGGCGUCACUGUGGGAGACACCACCCUCCCAGGCCUUCCACCCAAGCUGGGGCUGUACAGACCUUCAGGAAAGGAAGCCCACACUGGGCCCUCCAGCUCUGGUUUGGUGGGACCUGCUGUGAAGUCCCCCAGGGCAGACAGGAGUCAAGUCAGGUGUCUGACACAGGGCCCCCUGCCUUCUCUGAAAUGUAGCUCAGCUGGAUUUCUAAAAAUGGGGACACAGGACCAGCAAUGUCCUCCCAAGAAUUAGAAUGAGGCAAAAGAGUGAGACUAAGAAACAUUUCCUUUUUCAUAGCAUCAAACAGUAGGAGAAUAGGAAAUAGAAAUCCUGCCUCCCCAUAAUAAAGAAACACAAACACUAUAAAACGUGCACACCUUGAAAAGAUAUGAACAAAAGGAUUUCAAGUCGUUACUAUCGCUGUCAAAGAAAGCCAUUGGUCUUAAAAAAAAAAGAAAAAGAAGGAAAAGAAAGACAGAAAGAAAGAAAAAGAAAAAA